CGGGCAAGCUUGAAAAAUAUGCCUGACCAAGGUCGUAAGUUCGAUUCCCACCGUGGUCAGGCAUAUUUUUCAAGCUUGCCCG